AAAAUUUAGUUAAAAUUAAUAACAUUAGUUUGUCAAACUAAAAUUAUAUACAUAUAAUUUUUA
rnacentral:tRNA from 1 species